rnacentral:rRNA from 1 species
UACGUAGGGGGCGAGCGUUGUCCGGAUUUAUUGGGCGUAAAGAGCGUGUAGGCGGCCAGGUAGGUCUGCUGUGAAAACUCGAGGCUCAACCUCGAGACGUCGGCGGAAACCAUCUGGCUAGAGUCCGGAAGAGGAGAGUGGAAUUCCUGGUGUAGAGGUGAAAUUCGUAGAUAUCGGGAGGAACACCAGUGGCGAAGGCGGCUCUCUGGACAGGUACUGACACUGAGACGCGAAAGCGUGGGUAGCAAACAGG